rnacentral:rRNA from 1 species
AGCUCCAAUAGCGUAUAUUAAAGUUGUUGCGGUUAAAAAGCUCGUAGUUGGAUUUCUGCUGAGGACGACCGGUCCGCCCUCUGGGUGAGCAUCUGGCUCGGCCUCGGCAUCUUCUUGGAGAACGUAACUGCACUUGACUGUGUGGUGCGGUACUCAAGACUUUUACUUUGAGGAAAUUAGAGUGUUUCAAGCAGGCGCAUGCCUUGAAUACAUUAGCAUGGAAUAAUGAGAUAGGACCUUAGUUCUAUUUUGUUGGUUUCUAGAGCUGAGGUAAUGAUUAAUAGGGACAGUUGGGGGCAUUCAUAUUCCAAUGUCAGAGGUGAAAUUCUUGGAUUAUCGGAAGAUGAACUUCUGCGAAAGCAUCUGCCAAGGAUGUUUUCA